AUGAAGCACUAUUCUGGACAAAUUAUGAACUAUGUGACCUUCGAUGCCUAUCGGAUUGGGGAAUUCCCAUAUUGGUUCCAUCAAACAUGGACAACAAUUGUUCAACUUUGCAUUGCUCUGGCAAUUCCAUACAAUGCGGUUGGUGCUGCAAUGAUUUCAUCAUUGGUUGUCAUCAUUCUCACCGUACUCUGCAACGCUCCACUAGCCAGAUUCCAACACAAAUUUCAGAGUAAACUUAUGGAAGCACAAGAUGUGAGAUUGAAGGCAAUGUCUGAAUCACUAGUUCAUAUGAAGGUCUUGAAACUUUAUGCAUGGGAAGGCCACUUCAAGAAGGUCAUCGAGGGGUUGAGGGAAGUUGAGUACAAGUGGUUGUCAACAUUCCAGCUUUGGAGGGCAUACAACAAUUUCCUUUUCUGGGCUUCUCCUGCUUUGGUUUCUGUGGCAACCUUUGUAACAUGCUAUCUUUUGAAAAUCCCUCUUGAUGCUAGCAAUGUAUUCACCUUUGUGGCAACUCUACAUCUCGUGUAA
rnacentral:rRNA from 1 species